GCAGGGUUAAACGUUAAAGUAUGUUCGUGCAUUGAAUGGUUGUUUGGUCAUUCCUCUACUCAGAAAUGACCAAUUUAACAAGUCAAAGAGAGGAUUCAAUGAGCUGAAAAAAGGAAAAUAAAAAUCUACAGCCGCAUGUCAGAAGUAGGAGUUGAUUCCAGAAUUUCUGCGCUGACUUCUCCUUGUUCCUGGCUCCAUUAACUGGCAAUCCCCCAUAUGAACAUUUUACAUUAAAGACUUCUAAGCACUCUCCCACAAAUGAUGUGAAAUAAGCACCAGUAAAUUAAGUAAAACCAAUAGCAACUGAAAAUAAAACUAAU
rnacentral:misc_RNA from 1 species